GUAAAAGCAAAGGGGUGCCCACGGACAGACGGGCUGAGAUUAUACCCUGUGAACCUGAUGCGGUUAGUACCGACGAAGGGAUUGUUACUUCUUGCCAC
rfam:Bacteroides sp. CAG:98 genomic scaffold, scf5